UACGGGGGGGGGCAAGCGUUUGUUCGGAAUUACUGGGCGUAAAGGGCUCGUAGGCGGCCAACUAAGUCGGAUGUGAAAUCCCCAGGCUCAACCUGGGAACUGCGUCUGAUACUGGAUGGCUUGAAUCCGGGAGAGGGAUGCAGAAUUCCAGGUGUAGCGGUGAAAUGCGUAGAUAUCUGGAGGAAUACCGGUGGCGAAGGCGGCAUCCUGGGACCGGCAUUGACGCUGAGGAGCGAAAGCCAGGGGAGCAAAGCGGG
rnacentral:rRNA from 1 species